GACGAACGCUGGCGGCGUGCUUAACACAUGCGAGUCGAACGAGUGGCGAACGGGUGAGUAAUACGUGGGUAACCUGCCCUCUCUUUGGGAUAAGCCUUGGAAACGGGGUCUAAUACCGAACACGGGGGCGGGGUUCGCGGCCUAUCCGCUUGUUGGUGGGGUGAUGGCCUACCAAGGCGGUGACGGGUAGGCGGCCUGGGGGGGUGACCGGGCACAUUGGGUGUGGGAUACGGCGCAGCCUGCUACGGGAGGGAGCAGUUGGGGAGAUUGCACAAUGGGGGAAAGCCUCAUGCGGCGACGGCGAGUGGGGGAUGGAGGCUGUCGUGUUGUAAACCUCUUUCGCUAUCGAACCGGUAGGUGGAGAAGAAGCUCCGGCUAACUACGUGCCAGCAGCCGCGGUAAUAC
rnacentral:rRNA from 1 species